rnacentral:rRNA from 1 species
CCCUUAGACGUUCUGGGCCGCACGCGCGCUACACUGACCAGUGCAACAAGCAUCCGUCCUUGGCCGACAGGCUCGGGCAAUCUUUGAACGCUGGUCGUGAUGGGGAUAGACUUUUGCAAUUUUUGGUCUUCAACGAGGAAUUCCUAGUAAACGCAAGUCAUCAACUUGCAUUGAUUACGUCCCUGCCCUUUGUACACACCGCCCGUCGCACCUACCGAUUGAAUGGUCCGGUGAAGCCUCCGGAUUGGCGCGCACCUCGGUGCCGCCGAGAAGUUGGCUAAACCUUACCAUUGAGAGGAAGGUGAAGUCGUAACA